rnacentral:rRNA from 1 species
GAUGAACGCUAGCUACAGGCUUAACACAUGCAAGUCGAGGGGAAACGACAUCGAAAGCUUGCUUUUGAUGGGCGUCGACCGGCGCACGGGUGAGUAACGCGUAUCCAACCUGCCCAUCACUUGGGAAUAACCUUGCGAAAGUAAGACUAAUACCCAAUGAUAUCCCACGAAGGCAUCGGAAUGGGAUUAAAGAUUUAUCGGUGAUGGAUGGGGAUGCGUCUGAUUAGCUUGUUGGCGGGGUAACGGCCCACCAAGGCAACGAUCAGUAGGGGUUCUGAGAGGAAAGUCCCCCACAUUGGAACUGGGACACGGUCCGAACGCCUACGGGAGGAAGCAGUGAGGAAUAGUGGUCAAUGGGCGAGAGCCUGAACCAGCCAAGUAGCGUGCAGGAAGACGGCCCUAUGGGUUGUAAACUGCUUUUAUAAGGGAAUAAAGUGGGUCACGUAUGACUUUUUGCAUGUACCUUAUGAAUAAGGACCGGCUAAUUCCGUG